rnacentral:lncRNA from 1 species
UUUUCUUUCUUAGUUUCCACAAUAGAGCGUUUGCCAGAUAGACAGAGCAUAGGGCUAUUAGGCAAGUUCCGAGGUGCUGCUACUGCUCAGUGCCCUUCAGGGAUCUCCAACAAAGGCCCUUCCCAGCAGGAGUUUGCGUGUGGAGGAGACCAGCUUCUAGCUCCUUGACUUGCAGCCGGAAGGACGUGGUCCUAACUAUGUCACUGCCCCAGUUGGCUUUAGGACCCUUUGUAGAUCUCUUUACCUCUUCUUGCCUCUGUUCCUUCUUCUAUUAGUCACAUGGUGUUGGGUGAUUGAAACAAUAUAAUUUAGUACAGUGCUCAGUGCUUGGGACAUUAGGCACUGGUAAGUGGGAUCCCUCGUGGUUGUAUAAGGGCCUCGAAAUAGCAUUUCACCUAAACAGAAACGUCGUAAGGGGAAUGCGUGUGCACCUGCCAUGUGCCACUGACUCUGCUGUUCAUGAGAACAGAGAUCCUAUUUCUCAUCUUUGUGAGGGAUGGAGGUGGUGCUUUGGGUCUUUGUAACCCUCUUCCAGGAGGCCUGGAUCAGGCACAGCUGUCACUCAGCUCAGUCCCUUAGCAUGGCUUGGGCCAACCAUGGUGGGCACAAAUGCUUUAGUUUCUACAUUUGUACUUAGGGAAAUGGCCCUUAUUUUGGGGCCUUUAAGGACAAUUUAAUACGAAAUGUGUGGUGUUUGGAGCCCUUUGAAAGGAAGGGUCCUAGGGAAAUUAAUGGUGUUUUUGCUGUUCUUGGGAAAGCCCUUUGUGGUUCUUGGUGAAUAAAUUAUUUGGAGUGAGUUUUCUAACACCUCCCACUCAGCUGGUCACCGCAGCUUUUUUUUUUUUAAUAACUGUCUGCAGUAAUGCUUUUUUUUGCUCAUGACUUAUAAAGAUAUAUAGUUUGGGUGUUGGACUUUUGACCCCUGCCUGCUCCCAGGAGAGACAUUUCUAUCUGAAUAAUAAAAGGUGUGAACUAUCAGUGGCUCAUUUUCUGGGCCAUGGGCUUGUGAGUGGCUGGGGCAGGGGGUAAAAGAUGAUCCCCCCGGAGUGUUCAGUGGCUUUCCGUGUGUCCCCACUCCUCUCCUGUUCAAGCCCCUCCUGUACCCUUUGCUAAGGUUCUUUGGAUUUCAGGCAAGCCAUUGUCUUUGACAUUUUGGGAUGCACGGCUUUCUGCUUUCUGUUGUCUCCCUUGCUUUAGGUCCAGGUCCCAAAGCGAAUGGCCUGCCAAAGGAAGCCUGUCUGGAGCUCGGGAGGUUGGCCCUGCCCUGUCUCCUCCAGCUUUGUACGUGUAUGGCCUGUAACGCGCACGAGGCUUUUGCUUCUUACACUUCCUCCCUCUCUGUUCCAGAUGCCUGUCCCACUGUGAAGCGUUCACUUGGGCUGGGAGGAUGGGUCAGUCAGUAAAGUCCUUGCCACACAAGUAUAUACCCCCAGCAUCCACAUU